GCCUGGUCCCAACCGGAGUGGUUGUGGUGCAAAACUGUGCAGCUAGGAAAAAACCGCCACCAAUCAGAGAGCAGCACUACUGAAAUAGAACUCCCAGGAGUGAGGGGCCGGUGCUGGACACUGUGUAGGGACGCGGGAAUGCAAAGUCAUACACAUGACUGUGACUGAUGCACUAUCUCCAGGACAUGGAGUAGCAUUUCCGGACCUACAGCAAGACGUUGGAUGAAGGCAUAGCCCCAGAAAUAACACUGGUCCUGUUCAUCAGUGAGGGGCCGGUGCUGGACACUGUGUAGGGACACGGGAAUGCAAAGUCAUGCACAUGACUGUGACUGAUGCACUAUUUCCAGGACAUGGAGUAGCAUUUCGGGACCUACAGCAAGACGUUGGAUGAAGGCACAGGCCUAGGAAUCAUGCACAUACACAGAAACAUUUGCCCAAAUUCUAGAGGUAACCUCCUUUAGUAUGCCCAGAGGAAGGGCCAUACAGUAGCCAUGGAUUCCCUACAGGUUUCCUCCCCUCUGGAGGUUUUUCCUGUCCUGAGUAUUAGUUACUGUACGCUCUUUGUGAGUGAUGGGAGGUUACAAAAAAUCCCCUACACAAACAUUUUAAUAAAUAAUAA